GACGUAGGGCGCGAGCGUUGUCCGGAUUUAUUGGGCGUAAAGAGCUCGUAGGCGGCUCGUUGCGUCAACCGUGAAAACCCGGGGCUUAACUUCGGGCUUGCGGUUGAUACGGGCAGGCUGGAGUUCGGUAGGGGAGACUGGAAUUCCUGGUGUAGCGGUGAAAUGCGCAGAUAUCAGGAGGAACACCGGUGGCGAAGGCGGGUCUCUGGGCCGAUACUGACGCUGAGGAGCGAAAGCGUGGGGAGCGAACAGG
rnacentral:rRNA from 1 species